rnacentral:rRNA from 1 species
CCUACGGGUGGCAGCAGUCGAGAAUCAUUCACAAUGGGGGAAACCCUGAUGGUGCGACGCCGCGUGGGGGAAUGAAGGUCUUCGGAUUGUAAACCCCUGUCAUGUGGGAGCAAAUUAAAAAGAUAGUACCACAAGAGGAAGAGACGGCUAACUCUGUGCCAGCAGCCGCGGUAAUACAGAGGUCUCAAGCGUUAUUCGGAAUCACUGGGCGUAAAGCAUGCGUAGGCUGUUUCGUAAGUCGUGUGUGAAAGGCGCGGGUUCAACUCGCGGACGGCAUAUGAUACUGUGAGACUAGAGUAAUGGUGGGGGAAGCGGAAUGUACGGUGUAGCAGUGAAAUGCGUAGAUAUC